rnacentral:rRNA from 1 species
UACGAAGGGGGCUAGCGUUGUUCGGAAUUACUGGGCGUAAAGCGCACGUAGGCGGACUCUUAAGUCGGUGGUGAAAUCCUGGAGCUCAACUCCAGAACUGCCUUCGAUACUGGGAGUCUCGAGUUCGGGAGAGGUGAGUGGGACUGCGAGUGUAGAGGUGAAAUUCGUAGAUAUUCGCAAGAACACCAGUGGCGAAGGCGGCUCACUGGCCCGAUACUGACGCUGAGGUGCGAAAGCGUGGGGAGCAAACAGG